GCGCGCGAGUCGCCAAUAAGCCAAUGGAUGAAGAAGUCGUCAGUCAGGGCAAGUUAUAGUGGAGUGAUGGUUGAGAGUGCAAUUUAUUCUGCUUACCUGACUCCUGCAGACUUCUGUCCUGAUGUUUGGCUGUGGUCCCCCCAUCAUCCACUCUUUGGCAACAGGUCUAUUUAUGGAGACCACCAUGAUCUAAUCUAUACAGAUCUAGUUGUCUCUUCUUCCACAAACUCCUCUUUCAGGGUCCGGUGACAACAAGGGGGUGUCGACAAACUUCCAUUGAGGACCAUUAGACCACUCAAGAAGAAUUACCUCAUAUGACCAAGAUUUAAUGUUGUAAAGCAGAUUUUGAGCGGAUCUCCUUCAUUCUGCCGCCAGCUCACCACAACCCCUGGGUGCACCAGCUGUGGAUAUUAUAGGCCAAACUUUGGACACCCUAGGACAACAUGCUAAGAAGCACAGAUCUACCGAUAGCCCUCCAUCAUUCCCACAUCCAUCUUGCAACAAAGUUUCAUUAAGUGCAGUCCAUAACCAGUGUCUGCCAUACACGGUCUGCACCUUGUCCAUUGAAGAUGUUAUGGAUUAUUCUAUUAGAGAUCUUUCUAUUUUUUUGAGACUGUUACUAUGUAGUCUGUUAUGUUGUGAAUAAAGUCAAACCCCCCCUCACCUCGAUGCUUUGAGCAGUUAAUACAUUAAAGUGUGUCCUUAAUGUUUUAUUAUUUAAAGAUUGUUUUAAAGUUUAUUACAGGCUCAGUGAAUUUUCUUUCACUAGAAAAUAAAGUGUAAUAUUAACUGUCAUAGUCAAGUAUGAGACGUUUGUCAGUAUCAUUAAUUCUGUGAGGCAAUAUGAAUCAAAUGAACAUUUGUAUAGUGUUUUCAUCCAAAGGCUUCUUUCUCAUUCAGUUAAACAUCAAGGGUUUUCUUUGCCUUUGUCACCUUAACUUUCUCAUUGGAAAUUUUGAUCAUCAUUAUUUGGAAGAAAAUAAGAAUAUGAAAAUGGCUUUGGAUUUCAAUGCAUUGCAUGGAGUCAAAGAACCACCUGAAACGAUAAAUUAAAGUGUUACUCAAAUUAUCAAGCUUGUAAUGUUAAUACUAGAAAUUCUAAACAGCAGUCAAGUGUGGUAGGCUACAAAGGGUUUAAUUUAUGCUUUCUACAAGAUAACAGACAAGUAAUAUUAACCAAUGAUAACGCAAGUAAAAUUACAGUUAGCUUGAAAAGAGUCACUUUAAAUAAGAAACUGGGCUGACAUUUUUUUGCAUGUAUUUUUGUCUACGGAGGGAUCAAGCAAACAACGGUUGUGCAUGAUCAGGUUCCAAAAGGAGUUCGUGUGUGUGUUUAUGGUUGUAUUU